UACGUAGGCAGCGAGCGUUGUUCGGAGUUACUGGGCGUAAAGAGUGCGUAGGCGGUUUUCUAAGUUUGGUGUGAAAUCUCCCGGCUUAACUGGGAGGGUGCGCCGAAAACUGGAGGGCUUGAGUAUGGGAGAGGUAAGCGGAAUUCCUGGUGUAGCGGUGAAAUGCGUAGAUAUCGAGAGGAACACCAGUGGCGAAGGCGAGUCUCUGGACAUUUCCUAACGCUGAGGCACGAAAGCGUGGGGAGCAAACAGG
rnacentral:rRNA from 1 species